AAGGAACCCAACAACCAAGCAACUAUGAGCUAGCUGAUCGUAGACCGCUCUCUCCCGGUGCCAAUUAUUAGUAAGUGGCUG